rnacentral:lncRNA from 1 species
UGGUGGCGCACGCCUGUAAUCCCAGCACUUGGGAGGCUGAAGCAGGAGGAUCGUUGAGAGUUCGAGACCAGCCUGGGCUACAAAGUGAGCUCAAGGCCAGUCUGAACUGCAUAUCGAGACCCUGUCUCAAAAAGACCAAAAAAAAAAAAGAAAAGAAAAGAAAAAAAAAAAAGAAAAACCUCGUCUCAAAAUAAAUUUACAAAUUGGCUUGCUUUUAGGGUCCCUGUUGUAUGACCAGCGCUUGCAGCAGGCCAAGUACUCAGGACAGACUUGGCCUUCGCAGAGCGCACUGUCUGACCCGACCGAAAUUAAAGGUGCCAGUAGCGCAGCUCCCUGGUGGCUGCAGCAGGGCAGCGCGUGAAAGCCGUGGUGACGGUAGCCCUCAGACCGCCUCCGCCAGUCCUGUUCCAAGCUCGGCUCCUGCGCUGACCGGGCCCAGCCCUGCCUGCCUCCGCUGUUUCUGCCUCAUUUAGCUGUCGGUCAUGGAAGGACCUCCGCAGCGGCUCCCUGCUGAGGGAAGCGCAGAGGCCCCAGCCCCUAGCGACGGGAGAAGGCGGGGGCAGGAGUAGCCUGGGGAGAGGAGAGCGGGGAGCCAGGAGGGCGCUCUGGGUGAGAGGGAAACGGAAGAGGGGUCGGCGCAGAGGGGAGAGGCGCGUAGGGGCAGGGUCAGUGAGAGCGGUUCUGGGCGGGAAGGGAGAGUCCUGGGAAAGUGGGGUGAG